rnacentral:rRNA from 1 species
AAUAUUGGGCAAUGGACGGAAGUCUGACCCAGCCAUGCCGCGUGAAGGAUGAAGGCGUUCUGCGUUGUAAACUUCUUUUACUAGGGAAGAAAGUGUAUUUUUCUCGAUAUUUUGACGGUACCUAGUGAAUAAGCACCGGCUAACUCCGUGACAGCAGCCGCGGUAAUACGGAGGGUGCAAGCGUUAUCCGGAUUUACUGGGUUUAAAGGGUGCGUAGGCGGACUAUUAAGUCAGGGGUGAAAUCCCGGGGCUCAACCUCGGAACUGCCUUUGAAACUACUGGUCUUGAAUUAUGUUGAGGUUGGCGGAAUACAACAUGUAGCGGUGAAAUGCAUAGAUAUGUUGUGGAACACCGAUUGCGAAGGCAGCUGACUGAGCAUAUAUUGACGCUGAUGCACGAAAGCGUGGGGAUCAAACA